rnacentral:sRNA from 2 species
GCUAUCAGCUUCUAGGGUUCCGACUUGAAAUGAAGGCUUCAUUGCUGGGAAUGAAGUGCUUCGUGCAAGUGUCUGGUCCGAGAGAAGCAGCUUGCUGAGUCCUCAGUAAGCUACACGGCGGGAAAAAAGCCCGGGAGGA